AUUGAACGCUGGCGGCAGGCUUAACACAUGCAAGUCGAGCGGGGUGAUGGUGCUUGCACUAUCACUUAGCGGCGGACGGGUGAGUAAUGCUUAGGAAUCUGCCUAUUAGUGGGGGACAACAUCUCGAAAGGGAUGCUAAUACCGCAUACGUCCUACGGGAGAAAGCAGGGGAUCACUUGUGACCUUGCGCUAAUAGAUGAGCCUAAGUCGGAUUAGCUAGUUGGUGGGGUAAAGGCCUACCAAGGCGACGAUCUGUAGCGGGUCUGAGAGGAUGAUCCGACACACGGGGACAGAGACACGGCCCAGACUCCUACGGGAGGCAGCAGUGGGGAAUAUUGGACAAUGGGGGGAACCCGGAUCAAGCCAUGCCGCGUGUGUGAAGAAGGCCUUAUGGUUGUAAAGCACGUUAAGCGAGGAGGAGGCUCUUUUGGUUAAUAACCAAGAUGAGUGGACGUUACUCGCAGAAUAAGCACCGGCUAACUCUGUGCCAGCAGCCGCAGUAA
rnacentral:rRNA from 1 species